UGCCUAGUAGCCAAGUGGUAAGGCAUCAGACUUUGACUCUGACAUGCGCUAGUUCGAAUCUAGCCUAGGCAGCCA
rnacentral:tRNA from 3 species